rnacentral:snRNA from 1 species
AUGCUCCCUUUGGCAGUACAUAUACUGAAAUUGGUAUGAUAUAGAGAUUAACCUGGCCCCUGCACAAGGAUGUCAUGCAAAUUCAUGAAGCAUUCCAUAUUUAC